rnacentral:tRNA from 1 species
CAGGGAGACAAUUAAUUGAUUGUGAUGUCUAAGUAAUUUAUCUUAGGCCACAAUCCUGUCACCUUAAGGUCGAUCGGUACCUCAGAUUUUUGUUUUAAUUUUAUAAUUAAUUCAUUUAUUUCAGUUCCUAAACUUGUCUAGGUCACACCCAACAAGGGUUCUCCUGGGCCAUUAGCUCAGGUGGUUAGAGCGCACCCCUGAUAAGGGUGAGGUCCCUGGUUCAAGUCCAGGAUGGCCCAUUCGUUGUUGGGGGUAUAGCUCAGUUGGUAGAGCGCCUGCUUUGCAAGCAGGAUGUCAGCGGUUCGAGUCCGCUUACCUCCACUGAAACCUACCCUGGUAACUAAAUUCCGGAGAGAAAUUGUUGAUGUGGCUUAGAAUUGUCUAUAUGAAAAGAACCUAGCUUCUUAUCAUCUUUUUAUAGUUGAUAAUAUGCUGGGCUCACAUGGAUUUAUUCCAUGAGAAUUCAGUAGAACCUUGAAAACUGCAUAGAUUAGAAAGAAUAAAGCAUCUCAUGGAUGCAUUGUUCUGUAUUGAUUUUUUAGCUUAAACACUAAUGAUCAUUUACCAGAACACAUGUUUAAUUCUUGAGUAAUAGCCGAGCACAAUUGAUUUUGUGUUUGUAUUAAA